CAGUCGCCGCGGGAAUACGAAGGGGGCUAGCGUUGUUCGGAAUUACUGGGCGUAAAGCGCACGUAGGCGGAUUGUUAAGUUAGGGGUGAAAUCCCAGGGCUCAACCCUGGAACUGCCUUUAAUACUGGCAAUCUCGAGUCCGAGAGAGGUGAGUGGAAUUCCGAGUGUAGAGGUGAAAUUCGUAGAUAUUCGGAGGAACACCAGUGGCGAAGGCGGCUCACUGGCUCGGUACUGACGCUGAGGUGCGAAAGCGUGGGGAGCAAACAGGAUUAGAUACCCCCGUAGUCCCUGUCUCUUAUAC
rnacentral:rRNA from 1 species